UCUUCAGAUAUGGACAUUGAUCCUGAGGUACCGAAAAGUCCAUCUUCGCCAGUUUGCUCUACGAAUGAUAAUCUAAGUUCAUACGAUAUAGGAUUAUUCGUACAAAGGUCUUCGGCUGAUGGGAUAAAUUUAAUCCCUGGAUUGCAAAAGAAAAUUUGGACUCCACCUGACGGCUACAGUUUUCCCGCAUCGGGCCCUAGAAAUUUGAAGUUCCAACGCUCUUGGCUCCUGACAUACUCAUGGCUGGCGUACUCGGAGAGAGAAGACGGUGCAUUUUGCAAAUGCUGUGUCUUAUUUUGUGCUCGAGCGGGAGGGGUUGGUCGCCAAACCUUGGGCCAGUUAGUCACGAAUCCAUUGAGAAACUGGAAAAAAGCACUGGACACUUUCGAAAAGCACAAUGCAUCAGAAUAUCACAAGAGAAGCCUGUUGCAAUGGAGCUUGAGACUGGAAAUCGAAGACGAAAAUGCUUUAUCCAUUGAUUUACAACUUUCGAAACAAAAACUUGACUUUAUAAAUGAAAGUAAACUACGCAUGAUUCCAAUUAUUGAAACAAUUAUUCUUUGUGGCCGGCAAGGGCUUGCUCUUCGGGGUUCCAGGGAUACGGGGAGAAUUUCUGAAGAUGAACCGUUAAUUAAUGAUGGAAAUUUCCGAGCUCUCUUGAGAUUUCGAGCAAAAAAUGAUGAGACACCGGACAUUGCAGGAAUAGAACAAAGUUCAAUUUGCACUCGAUACUUGGAUAAGAGCGACGGGAAGUUUAUCAUUCGUGAAGAUUUUUUGUGCUUCAUCACUAUCGCAGAUUUCACUGGAAAAGGAAUAGGAACUUCUUAUCUCAAUUUCUUGGAUUCUUCCGGACUUAAUUGCACAUAUUUUCUCGGACAGGGAUAUGAUGGCGCGAGAGCGGUUAGCGGAGAAUUCCAUGGAGCCCAAGCUGUUGUCAGAGAGCGUUAUCCACUCGCGCUCUACUCCCAUUGUGCGGCUCACAGCUUUAAUUUGGCAGUCAGCUCUGCAUGCAAUAUAACAGCAUCAGAAAUUGUUUGGGAACCCUCGAAAGCAUUCAUACUUUCUUCAUCUAUCCGAAACGCCAAAAUGCUCUUCAAGAUGCGAUCAAUGAAGAUGAGACGCUACGUGAAAGUCGGUUGAAGAAAUUGAAAAAAUUUUGCAAAACCAGAUGGGUAGAGCAACACGAGUCUGUCGCAACUUAUCUGCACUUACAACCAGCAGUAAUUCGCGCUCUUGAUGUGAUUUCGACCACCUGGAAGGAUCCGACGACUUCAUCUGGAGCUUUCCAACUUCUUUCAGCAAUAAAAACUGCAAAUUUCCAGAUCUCCAUGCAUAUUUUGAGCUCAGUACAUUCUUUGACUUUGUCUCUCAGUCGAGUACUUCAGUCCGAAAACCAGGAUCUUGGCGAGGCUAUCGAACUGGCUGAUGCUGCGAAACAAGUCCUGCUUGAAAGAAGAGAAAACGCCGAAAAGGACUUCAGAGGAAUUUUCAAAACCGUGAGCGAAAUCAGCGCAAAAUACGACAUCGAACUGCGGAAACCAAGGCUCGCGUCAAAACAGACUCAACGCUCCAACGUACAAACUGAUUCAGUUCAAGAUUAUUUUCGCAUAACGAUUUACAUCCCAUACAUUGAUUUGUUUCUGACCCAUAUACAAGAUCGAUUUUUGAAUCACCGCAAAAUUUUAUCAAACUUUGCUUGCCUCUUCCCCAACAAAAUGAAGAAUUUCAAUGAAGAAUCCUGCGCUCAACUGUUUGAACCAUACUCUUCAAUUUUGCGGGAUGAUUCCCGUGACAUCUGGGUAGACGAAGUCAAACUUUGGCGUCAACGCAUCGCCGGAAAGAACGUUAAAAAUUCGCUUGAAGCACUCGAUGUGUGCAAUGGAGAUGCGUUUCCAAAUGUACAUCAAAUGCUUCGCAUUUUGGCAGUUCUGCCUGUAACGACAGCAACGAAUGAACGCUCCUUUUCAACAUUGCGUCGCCUCAAGACUUACCUCAGGUCAACAAUGUCUGAAGAUCGGCUGAACGGAUUAGCUUCGCUCAAUAUACAUCGCGAUGUCGAGGUCGAUCCGCAAAGAGUUUUGGAGAAGUUUUUUUCUACACCUCGCAGAGUUAAUUUAUUAUAUAAUAACUGAAUAUCAAGUCAAGACCAAGACACAAUAAAAUGUCUUCAUUUAUAAGAAAA
rnacentral:misc_RNA from 1 species